AGCGAACGCUGGCGGCAGGCCUAAAACAUGCAAGUCGAACGCCCUAGCAAUAGGGAGUGGCAGACGGGUGAGUAACACGUGGGAACGUGCCUUUUGGUUCGGAACAACACAGGGAAACUUGUGCUAAUACCGGAUAAGCCCUUACGGGGAAAGAUUUAUCGCCAAAAGAUCGGCCCGCGUCUGAUUAGCUAGUUAGUGGGGUAACGGCCCACCAAGGCUACGAUCAGUAGCUGGUCUGAGAGGAUGAUCAGCCACACUGGGACUGAGACACGGCCCAGACUCCUACGGGAGGCAGCAGUUAGGAAUCUUGGACAAUGGGCGCAAGCCUGAUCCAGCCAUGCCGCGUGAGUGAUGAAGGCCUUAGGGUUGUAAAGCUCUUUUACCCGGGAUGAUAAUGACAGUACCGGGAGAAUAAGCCCCGGCUAACUCCGUGCCAGCAGCCGCAGUAACAC
rnacentral:rRNA from 1 species